rnacentral:rRNA from 1 species
AUUGAACGCUGGCGGCAGGCCUAACACAUGCAAGUCGAGCGGAUGAGAGGAGCUUGCUUCUCGAUUCAGCGGCGGACGGGUGAGUAAUGCCUAGGAAUCUGCCUGGUAGUGGGGGACAACGUUUCGAAAGGAACGCUAAUACCGCAUACGUCCUACGGGAGAAAGCAGGGGACCUUCGGGCCUUGCGCUAUCAGAUGAGCCUAGGUCGGAUUAGCUAGUUGGUGAGGUAAUGGCUCACCAAGGCGACGAUCCGUAACUGGUCUGAGAGGAUGAGCAGGCACGCUGGAACUGAGACACGGUCCAGACUCCUACGGGAGGGAGCAGUGGGGAAUAUUCGACAAUGGGCGAAAGCCUGAUCCAGCCAUGCCGCGUGUGUGAAGAAGGUCUUCGGAUUGUAAAGCACUUUAAGUUGGGAGGAAGGGUUGUAGAUUAAUACUCUGCAAUUUUGACGUUACCGACAGAAUAAGCACCGGCUAACUCUGUGCCAGCCGCCGCAGUAACAC